rnacentral:rRNA from 1 species
CCCUAUGGGGCGCAGCAGGCGGCGCAGCAUGCUGUGGAAGAUGUAGACGGCUUCCGUGGAUAGGCCCGCUUUCGUCCGCAUCGGCGGCGCACCGCUGCGCGCCCGGGCGUGGUACGCGCGGAAGAUGAAGCCGAAAGCGUCGACGAGGUAAAGCCGCGGCGGGGGCAUGCCCCUAAUCAUAUCCCUCGCGGGCCGGCAUAGGUAGUCGUGCCACACUCCGUCGCUCAAGUGUGGCGUAAACGCAACAGUUUGCGUUCUUUAAUACACUGAAAAUAAAGAUGUUACAGAUGGAUGGAAGGUUGCUAUCCUGUGGGUGUCGUUUGGUGAAACCCAAGCCGACGGAGGGUAACAUUGCGAUUCGAAACGACCAUUCAGAAGCCGGUUGCCGCCUCAGGCGUGGGCCUGCAUAGCGGAGGGC